CCUACAUUCAUGAUGAAGUAUUUUUCGGAUGUAAAGUGCCCUUCGGGGACAGUGUCCGAGAGCGCAAAAACGUGUGGACACUUCCGUUGCCUUCCUUCUGAUCUGUCGAAU
rnacentral:snoRNA from 1 species